rnacentral:rRNA from 1 species
UACAGAGGUCCCGAGCGUUGUUCGGAUUUAUUGGGCGUAAAGGGUGCGUAGGCGGUCAUGUAAGUCGGAUGUGAAAUCCCGCAGCUCAACUGCGGAACGGCAUCUGAUACUGCUUGACUCGAAGACUGGAGAGGAGACUGGAAUUUGCGGUGUAGCGGUGAAAUGCGUAGAUAUCGCAAGGAACACCAGUGGCGAAGGCGGGUCUCUGGACAGUUCUUGACGCUGAGGCACGAAAGCUAGGGGAG